AUUUAAAUAGACAUAGGGUCUGGAGUGUAGUGGCAUGAUCAUGGCUUAUUGCAGCUUCCAACUCCUGGGCUCACAGGAUUCUCUCUCCUCAGCCUCCAGCCUCCUGAGUGGCUAGGACUACAGGUGCAUGCCACCACACCUGGCUAAUUUUUAUUUUUUAUUUUUAGUAGAGACAAAGUCUCUAUGUUGCCCAGGCUGGUCUCAAAUUCUUGGCCUCAAGCAGUCCUCCCCUUCUUGGCCUCUCAUGGCUUGAACCAACUUACCCUACCCUGUUAAUGCACUUUCAAGGGGCCAUUGAGAAGCAGAGAAUCUUGUUAAUCUGGCCAAGCACAAGAGCACAAGCUUCGGCUCAGUGUCCUUUGCCAAUAAGAUUAAGGACACAAGAAGUGAGGAAGGAGGGACUGAGUGCUUAGGAAAGGGCAGGUUUCUGAAAGCAACAGCCAUGUAAAUGCUGUAUGCAUAGGCAGUACCAUAAAGCAGUAGAGCAAAGGACUGAAAUUUUCCCCCUUUUCCAGUGUGCAGUGUACAGUAGGGGGCUGUUUUCAUAAGGACCCCCCCAAUUUUCCUUGUUCAAUAUAUUGAAUUCUGUGAGGAAACAAAUUAUUAUUUUUACCUCCUCUUGGUGAGAAAUUCCCAUCAGGAGACCAACAACAGUCACUGCUGAGCUGAAAAAUGUCCGGUAGUCAGAGAUGCUGCAUCCAAACAGCAGGUUAAACUGAACAGAAGGAGAAAGGCCAGUUAGUGCAAGCCGAGCGCACAUCUUUCUAUCCUGAGGUGCUUGGGGAUGUGGCCAACAUAGAAGCAAUGGAACAGAAAUUCCUUGUGGCCAAAUUAUGCCCAAAGAAUACAUAAACUUCCUUUGUAAUAACAUAGUGUUUUCAUAGAAGUUUAUUUGACCUUUAUAUUACCGUGUGAGCUAAGUUUUAUCCCCAUUUUAGAGAAAAAUAUGUGGGUUUAAGUCAUACCAGUUAAGUGUGGAACUAGAUCUAAACCCGGCUUUCCUACUGUACCACCUCGGGUUUCUGUGUUGUGACCAUUUCUAUGGGAAGCGAUGCGAUUCCAAGACCACAGCACACGGAGAAGGAGAGACAGCAACGUGGGGGCUUACGGCAAUGGCAUAGCCUGUCAGCAGGAUUAGGAUGAUCAGCAGAAAGCCCACCACCUCGUCCCAGGCUCGGCUCAGUGUCCUGCUGAUGACCCGCAGCCUGGGGCUAUGACGCAGCAGGUUCCAUAACUGAACAGUUGCCAGGAGAACCGGGAAGCCCACAAGGUGAGUCGCAGCAGAGUUCACUUUUACUGCCUCAUAGAAGCUGAUGAAUCUGCACCAAGGAAAGCUGACAGUUACUCAGCAAGAAGUAUGUGCCUAUACUGCAGUUUCCCCAGCGCCCCUGCUGCUGAUCGUGGCAGCCCUGAGUCCUGUGAGGUCAAAUGCUUGUUGAUGUGAGAACUGCUUUCUAUUGUGGCCUCCUGUGAGUUGUGGAUAUGGGAGUAACAGAAGGCCACAUACUAUUCAAGUGAUCUACCUGCUGCAGAUUGCACUGGGAGCUGUGCCGAAGAAGCCUUAAAAUGUGACCUCUAGCUGAUUUCUUUAUUCCAAAUUCAUCCUGGGAAGCAAAACCAGCCUCCUGCACUGCUCUGAGCCAAAUCUCUCCUCUCAAAAGGAGAUUAACUCAGCCCAGAGAGAGGAGCCAUGCUGCUGGUCUGUUUUCUGUGGCACACUAAUCCUGUGUUCUCUGGCAGUACAGGAUUGCUGUAAUAGGUGCAAUCAAGCUUAGAACAAAAUGAUGGGUGGUAGACUAGAGGCGAGGGGUGUUGCUUAGCAAUUAGGUUUUGUUUUGAGAGAGAGACAUUCAUAAUUUUAGGUUGCAGCAACCAGGUUACUUGGAAGGAGCCCCACAGACACUAGCAAGUGGCACUCUGCACAGAUCCGCUGUCACUGCAUAAACUGCUCUCCAUAAGGCCUACUUGAAACAAUGCCUCAGGAAAAGUUACACAGAUCACCACCCAGGCUGUUGGCCACUGAUGCAAAGGUUAGCAAAGCACCACUUGGCAACACUUGGCAUGGGAAACAUAGAUGUUCCUCUCCAUGGGAAAAACCAGAGAAGGUGCCCAAAGAGGCACCAAAAAUCUCUUAGUAUGGAUGAGUGAAUAGAUGAACAUCCCUACCCAGAAAGCAGCUCCCUUUGCAUUUAAAGGAUGGGACUAUGUGUUGUGGUUUUAUUUAAAGGAUUAUUUGUCGUGCGUUAGGCUUUAUGCCUUCGCCAGAGGGCAAAAUAAUGACCAAUUCCAGGCCCUUCUGAAAUUUAAAUGCAUUAUCCUUAAGCACAUACCUAAGCACUAAUGAAGGCAGAAGAGCUCUUCAAUGUGACUAGCAGUUAAAUGGCUUCUAGUUCACUGUCUUCUCUGCUGUGGACAUGAGUCCAAGUUCUCUUUUAACUCUAAUGUUAUGCAAAUACAGAUCUGGUAGGGGAGUUUGAAGAAUACUUGUGUAUAAACAGGAAACUUUAGACAUGAGGUAGGAAUAUGCUGUGCCCCUCAGGCUUCCUCUCACCUGUCCUGGUCAUCGCGGUAUCGUGCCAUGUUUUUCUUAUGUAGAGAAAUACUCUUCAUGUCAAGCCCCAGGAGGAUGAAGCUAAUGAGGAUUAUACUUGUGUCCAGAAUGUUUCUUUUCCCAGUGAAGAACCUCCACUUCUGCUGUUUCAGCUGACAACCCUAAACAUAGACAGCACAGUCACUGUUGCUUGUCUGAGAGAUUAGCUAGGUCUCUCCCUGCUCAAGUGUGAUGAACGCAGCUGAUGUCUGUGGGCAAAGCACACUGCCAGGCAUUUAUCAGAUCUCACUUGGACAAAUGGGUUAUGGUCUUAGUUCAGGUCUGUAGUCUUCAGAAAUGCUGCUUACAAAAAAGUUAUCUUCAAACAACUUCCAUUGGAUACAUUUAUUCUUUUUCUUGGAGAUCAUAAACUGUCACUUAAAAAUCAAUAAUACAAAAGUUUCUUUCUUUGAGACAGGGUCGCGCUCUGUUGCCCAGGCUGGAGUGCAGUGGUGCGAUCAUAGCUCACUGCAGCCUCAACCUCCCAGGCUCAGGCUCAAGCAGUCCUCCUACCUCAGCCUCCCAAGUAGCAGGGACCACGAGCACAUGCCACCAUGCCCGGCUAAGUUUUGUAUUUUUUGUAGAGACAGGGUUUUGACAUUUUGCCCAGGCUAGUCUUGAACUCCUGGCUUCAAGUGAUCUGCCUACCUCAGCCUCCCAAGGUGCUGGGAUUACAGGCGUGAGCCACCAUGCCCAGCAAAAAUUUCUAAAUUAGUUAUCAAGCCUGAGAAUGAAAAAAAAAAUACUAUGUUUGGCUUAAGAUAUAAAUAUAUUUUCUUCUGAGUGUAAUCAUCUGUAUUUUUUUUUCUUUUCUUUUUUUUUUUUUGAGACAGAGUUUCACUCUUGUCACCCAGGCUGGAGUGUAGUGGUGCCAUCUUGGCUCACUGCAACCUCUGCCUCCCAGGUUCAAGCAAUUCUGCCCCAGUCUCCCGAGUAGCUGGGACUAUAGGAGCCCGCCACCAUGCCCAGCUGAUUUUUGUAUUUUUAGUAGAGACAGGGUUUCGCCAUGUUGGCCAGGCUGGUCUUGAACUCCUGACCUCAGGUGAUCAACCCAUCUUGGCCUCCCAAAAUGUUGGGAUUACAGGCGUGAGCCACUGUGCCUGGCCAAUCACUUUUUUUUUUCUUUUUUUUUUUUUUUUUGAGAUGCAGUUUCACUCUUGUUGCCCAAGCUGAAGUGCAAGGGCGCGAUCUCGGCUCACUGCAACCUCCGCCUCCCGAGCAGCUGGGAUUACAGGCAUAUGCCACCACGCCCGGCUAAAUUUGUAUUUUUAGUAGAGACGGCAUUUCUCUAUGUUGGCCAGGCUGGUCUCGAACUCCCUCAGGUAAUCCGCCUGCCUCGGCCUCCUAAAGUGCUUGAACUACAGGCAUGAGCCAAUCAUUUGUAUUUUUGAGUGCUUGCUCUUUGUUCAUCAUACUUGCUUGGUAUUACUUCAUAUAGGGCUAAUAAAACUACAAAAGUACUAUUUCUAUAGACUUAAUUCUUUAGCUCCUGAAAAAUUGAAAGAGCCAAUCUAUUUGGUGGAAAACCAGUCAGCCUUUAACUGAAUUCAGGUUUCUGAAAAGGACCAAAAUUAUAGCCAUAAUUCUAGUAACAUGUCAUUGUAGAGCUUCCCAAAUAAAAUGUGGCAACCUUUAUUUCUCACAUCUAACACCAUCAUCAUCAUCAUCAUUAUUUUUGAGACAGGGUCUUGCUCUGUCGCCCAGGCUGAAGUGCAGUGGCGUGAUCUUAGCUCACUGCAACCUCUGCCUCCCAGGCUCAAGCAAUUCUCACAUCUCAGCCUCCCGAGUAGCUGGGACCACAGGUGCAUGCCACCACACCUGGGUAAUUUUUGUAGUCUGGUAAAGAUGAGGUUUUGCCAUGUUGCCCAGGCUGACAUCUAACAUUAUUGACUCACCUGUAUGAAGGCAUAGUAACAGACCAGUAGAUAAUAGAUGACUUGUGAGAUGAUAGACCAGACACAGCCCUUCUUUGACAUCUGAAGGGAAGUGAAGCUUUCCAGUCUCAAAGAGGUGAAGAAAGCACCUGAGAAUAACAAAGAACACCUGGAGUCAAGAGUCUAAAACUUUUGCCCUCUUCUUGUUAAACUUUGUCUUUGAAUAACCCCAACUCUUCCUGUAUCAUCAAAUGUUUCUGAGUCUCAGUGCUCCACUUAGUAUUUCCUUUAGAGCUGUCAUGAACAUUAAAGGAGAUCAUGUAUGCAAAGCUAUUG
rnacentral:lncRNA from 1 species